rfam:Anopheles quadriannulatus strain QTAD4_A unplaced genomic scaffold supercont1.366, whole genome shotgun sequence.
UUGAGUCAGAUAGUAUACAAGCGCCGUGGAUCUGAAGCCUCUAGAAGGUUAACAUAGGCUUUCCACCUCCUACUCCUACUCAAUACGUCUCCGUCGUACAGAACGAUAACAUGUCUCUCAAUUAUCCAAGCUUGGGUAUACGGGGAAACCCAACCCCUUGGGCGGAUGUGUUGCAUGGCUAAAUUGAGAGGG